GUUUGCGGUUGGGAUUUUAUAUCUCAUCCACAUUUUUUGUUUCAACUUAUUGUCUAUUUCUCUGGUACCUUAAAAAAUAGUGAACAGAAAAUGCUCAUAAAAAAUUACUUGCAAAAAUAAAAGGAGGGAUCAGUCAAUAUGUAAUAAAGUAUUUAAAAAAAAGGAUUUUAUUGACCAUUAUCAGAAUGCAUUAUACACAUGAUUGAAAUGAAAUCAAUAUCCACCUCUGAUAACACACAGACAGGUGAAGAAAGUGAGAAACAGCUUCACAGCAUACUGAGUAAGAGCUCAGGGAGAAACCAUGGGCUCGUACAAUUUGCACAGCAAACAGAAGGAUUUCCAGGAGGCCGGGAGAUACAUCCCGAACUCAGUAUGACGGGUCCCUGCGGAGAGAAACAACAGUGAUUAUAAUAAGAGUCCUAAAGACUAUGCUACGUUUUAUGAAUAAAAUGGACCAUCCAUCAUAGAGACUUUGGAAGGAUUACUUGCACACAAUGGUUAUGAAAUAUUAUUAGCAUAUUGAUAGUUUAAGGCAAGCAUGUCAAACUUGCUGCUUUGUGCUGAGGAUGUGACCAGCCGCAAGAGAGGAAAGAUAUUUCCUAUCUGAUUCUUGUCUUCCCUCCCACGACUGCAAGAGAGUAGAUUGUCUGUCUGCAGAGCAGGCCAGCCACUCCCUCUUCCCUCCUGCUCGCAGUUCCAGCCACUUCCCCUUCCCUCCUGCUCGCAGUGCCAGCCACUCCCCC